GACGAACGCUGGCGGCGUGCUUAACGCAUGCAAGUCGAACGAUGAAGCCGGAGCUUGCUCUGGUGGAUUAGUGGCGAACGGGUGAGUAACACGUGAGUAACCUGCCCUUGACUCUGGGAUAAGCGUUGGAAACGACGUCUAAUACCGGAUACGAGCUAGGACCGCAUGGUCACUAGCUGGAAAGAAUUUCGGUCAAGGAUGGACUCGCGGCCUAUCAGUUAGUUGGUGAGGUAACGGCUCACCAAGACGACGACGGGUAGCCGGCCUGAGAGGGUGACCGGCCACACUGGGACUGAGACACGGCCCAGACUCCUACGGGAGGCAGCAGUGGGGAAUAUUGCACAAUGGGCGCAAGCCUGAUGCAGCAACGCCGCGUGAGGGAUGACGGCCUUCGGGUUGUAAACCUCUUUUAGUAGGGAAGAAGCGAAAGUGACGGUACCUGCAGAAAAAGCACCGGCUAACUACGUGCCAGCCGCCGCGGUAA
rnacentral:rRNA from 1 species